rnacentral:ncRNA from 1 species
UGUUUAAUAGUUGUCGCUUUGGAGCCAAAAAAUUUUAUUUUAGUUUAGGUAGUAGGUAUGUAAUUUAUUUAUAUGCGAAUUUUUACAUAAGAAAUGAAUUUUAAAAAAAUUCAGUUUAAUUUUGCAAUAUUUAGUUUUAAACAUUUAAGGGGACUUAGAUUAAGAAAUUUACAAUUUAUAUUAACAUAAUUUGUGCCAGCAGUUGCGGUUAUACAAGUAAUAUUAUUUAUUAUUUUUAAUAUAUAAUUAUUUGAUUUUAGUUUAUUUAAAAGUGUAUUUUAUAAGGUGAAAUUUUAAAAUAUAAAAAUUUAAAUUAUAAGGUUUAGAAGUUAUUAAAUUUUACAUGAAACUAGGAUUAGAUACCCUAUUAUAAAAAUGUAGAUUAAGGAAUGUUAGAAUAAUUUUAGUUAUAAUCUUUAAAGUUAAAAAAUUUGGCGGUACUUUAAUCUUUUCAGAGGAACUUGUCCUGUAAUUGAUAGUCCACGAUUAAAAUGACUUAUUUUAGUAAUUUAUAUAUCGUCGUAGUGGAAUAUUUUUUAAAAAUUUAAAUAUUCAAAAUUUUAUUAAAAAUAUAAAUCAGAUCAUGAUGUAGUUUAUAAAUAAGUAGAGAUGAGUUACAUUAAUUGAUAUUUUUAGAUUUUAUUUUUAAAAAAUAAAUGAAAUUGGAUUUGAAAGUAAUUAUAUUUAUAAUGGUAUAAUGAUUAAGCUCUAAAGUAUGUACAUAUUGCCCGUCGCUCUCAUAUAGACGAGAUAAGUCGUAACAAAGUAAAUGUACUGGAAAGUGUAUUUAGUGAG